AUUCAGCUGACGAGUCCGAAAUAGGACGAAACGCGCGUCCUGGAU
rfam:Schistosoma mansoni strain Puerto Rico chromosome 3, complete genome